rnacentral:lncRNA from 1 species
UGGUGGUGUAAUGAUGGUGAUGUGGUUGGGUGAUGAAGAUGGUGGUGGUGAUGAUGAUGGUGAUGUGGUUGGGUGAUGAAGAUGAUGGUGGUGAUGAUGAUGGUGGUGGUGUAAUGAUGGUGAUGUGGUUGGGUGAUGAAGAUGAUGGUGGUGUAAUGAUAGUGAUGUGGUUGGGUGAUGAAGAUGAUGGUGAUGAUGAUGGUGGUGGUGAUGAUGAUGAUGGUGGUGUAGUGAUGGUGAUGUAGUUGGGUGAUGAAGAUGGUGGUGGUGAUGAUGAUGGUGUGAUGAUGAAAUGCUGAUGCUUCUGAUGAAGAUGCUGAUGGUGUUGGGUGAUGACAAUGGAAAUGAUGGAGUUCACUCUGGUGUUGAUGAUGAAGACUAAGGUGUGGCUGAUGGUAAUGAUGACGACGGAGAUGGUGAUGGUCAUGAUGAUGAUGAUGAUGAUGAUGGUGUACGUGUCACCCUGAUGGUGUUGGUUGUGUCGGAGUUGACUGGUUAUGAUGGUGUUAGUGAUGAAGAUGAAGGUGAUGAAGAUGAAGGUGAUGAAGAUGAAGGUGUGGGUGAUGAAGAUGAAGGUGUGUGUGAUGAAGAUGAAGGUGUGGGUGAUGAAGAUGAAGGUGUGGGUGAUGAAGAUGAAGGUGUCAGUGAGGAAGAUGAAGGUGUGUGUGAUGAAGACGAAGGUGUCAAUGAGGAAGACGAAGGUGUGGGUGAUGAAGAUGAAGGUGUGGGUGAUGAAGAUGAAGGUGUCAGUGAGGAAGAUGAUGGUGUGGAUGAUGAAUAUCGUGAUGACAAAGGUGAUGGCGAUGAUGGUAUUGAUGAUGAAUGUGAAGGUGUGGGUGAUGAAGA